rnacentral:lncRNA from 10 species
GCCUGCUAAAAAUGGACUGUGUCCAAUGACAAACAGAAGAGAAUACUUUGCACUGCUUUAAUAGAGACUGUAAUAUUGUUAUUUUAUAGAGUUUUAAACAAAACAAAUUUUUGUUUUCUAAUACUCACAGUACUGACUCGGGAUGAGAGAAGGAAAGCGCUGGGUAGAGAAGGGCAGGUCCCUGGCUAGGGCUUCACCUCAGGUCCUGUGCACACGCAUAUAGGGGAGGACAAGCGCUCCUGUUUUCAUGCCCAAGUUUGCAUUUUCCAAGACCACCUGGCCUGCCACGUCCCCUAUCCUGUGCCUGUAAAAACCCCAAGACAGGCAGGCAGGCACAGAAGUGGCUGGACGUCGAGAGGAACACAUUGGCGGAAGAACACACAAGCAGUUGCACACAUUGGCGGAAGAACACACAAGCAGCUGUGCCACACAAGCAGCUGUGCAGACGCACGUUAAGAGGAGCGCACGUUGAGAGGAGCGCACGUACGUUGAGAGGAGCGCACGUACGUUGAGAGGAGCGCACGUACGUUGAGAGGAGCGCACGUACGUUGAGAGGAGCGCACGUACGUUGAGAGGAGCGCACGUACGUUGAGAGGAGCGCACGUACGUUGAGAGGAGCGCACGUACGUUGAGAGGAGCGCACGUACGUUGAGAGGAGCGCACGUACGUUGAGAGGAGCGCACGUACGUUGAGAGGAGCGCACGUACGUUGAGAGGAGCGCACCGGAGAAAGAACACACGAGCUGCGGGACAGUGAGAGGAACACACUGGUAGAAGAGCACACAGGCAGCUGGAUGUCGAGAGGAGCGGAAGAGCACAGCGACAGGCACUGGUGUCGACCAGCGGAACGACGUGGAGUUUGGCCUGGGAGGUCAGAGAAGAAUUUGGCUGCUGGGCAGCCCCACUAUAGGGGAAAACCACCUUCCCACUCCAUUCCCCUUCUGAUCUCCCCAUCCACCUCGCUGAGAGCUACCACAACUCAAUAAAAAACCUAGCACUCGAUCUCCAAGCCCACAUGUGAUCCAAUUUUUCCCGUGCACUAAAGCAAGAACCUGGGAUACAGAAAGCCGUCUGUCCUUGUGAUAAGGCAGAGGGUCUAAUUGAGCUGAUUAACACAAGCCACCUGCGGACAGCUAAGCUGAAAAAGCAUCCUGUAACACACGCCCACUGGGGCCUCAGGAGGUGUAAACAUUCACCCCGAGAGGCUGCAUGGGUCCGCGCCCAUGGUCCCCAUGACUUGCCUGUUUGCCUGCUCUGGCUAAGGGUCUUGACCAGUGGGGCACUGAAGAAGCGAGCCACACCUCCAUCGUACGCCCUGCGAGGAGGGGUCUCACUCAGUGACCCAGGCUGAAUGCAGUGGAACAAUCAUGGCUUACUGUAGCCUUGACCUUGAGGGCUUAAGCAAUCCUGCCACCUCAGCCUGCCUAGUACUGGGACUACAGAAAUUGCCACAGUCACCUCAACCUUCAGCAACCACCAACUUGAUCAAUCAGCAGCCAAUAACGUGAAGUCAUGACCAUUCACCAGCAAAAAGUUUAUGAUUCACCAAAAUAUUAGAUGAUCAUUAACAUUUUUAGCAAUAAUGUAUUUGUCAUUAAGGUGUUAGUGCAUUGGAAAAUCAUUUAAAGAAUGUAUCAGCUAAUUGAAGGCUUAUGUGAUCAUUCAAAGAUAAGCUACCUGAUGAAAAAAUAAAGGUUAAUGCAAUUCAACAACAAAAUUAAUGCUGCAAACAUCUCUCUUCUAUUUUAGACAUUCUUCUAACUGCUGGAACUAAUAAGAUAUGAAUGAUGAAGCUUAUAUUCUUCUAGGAAUGAUAUAUACUUCACACAAAUAUAAAUAAAAAGCCUAGAUAAUUACAAAUAAGUUAUAUGAAUGAAGUUGACAGUAACUGAAAGAAGUCCGUUUAAAUAUGGUUGUCGGAAAGCCUCUACAGAAGGUGCCAUCUAAACACAGAUCCAAGGGAUACCGGUAGACUAGCUGUACUAAGAACCAUGGAGAGAGCGUUCUAGAGUGUACAUGUUCAGAGGCCGAAUAGAAUGAAUGAGUUAGACACAUCUGGGAAACGAAAAAGAAGCCAAUGUGAAUGGAAAACAAGGACCGUUACUGUAGGCCAUGAAAACAUUUUCUCUUUCUCUCCCCCUCUCUCUGUUUUUUGUUUGUUUGUUUGUUUGUUUGUUUUGGUUUGGUUUGGUUUUUUUUUUUUUGAGACGGAGUCUCGCUGUGUUGCCCAGGCUGGAGUGCAGUGGCGCGAUCUCGGCUCACUGCAAGCUCCGCCUCCCGGGUUCAUGCCAGUCUCCUGCCUCAACCUCCCGAGUAGCUGGGACUACAGGCGCCGCCACCACGCCCGGAUAAUUUUUGUAUUUUUAGUAGAGACGGGGUUUCACCAUGUUGGCCAGGCUUGUGUGGAACCCUGACUUCAGGUGAUCCGUCCGCCUCGGCCUCCCAAAGUGCUGGGACUACAGGCGCCCGCCACCACGCCCGGCUAAUUUUUUUGUAUUUUUAGUAGAGACGGGGUUUCACCAUGUUAGCCAGGAUAGUCUCGAUCUCCUGACCUUGUGAUCCGCCCGCCUCGGCCUCCCAAAGUGCUGGGAUUACAGGCGUGAGCCAUUGUGCCAAGACUCUUUCUCUCUUUUUUUUUUUUUUUCCUUUCUUCCCUAAGCACAGUGGUAGCCAUUAGAGCAUCUGAGAAGGGAUGUGGGCAAGCCUGGUUUUAAUUCUAAAGUUCCCUUCGGUUAAUUUGUGACAAACUGGAUUGUGAAUGUGUUUCCAUGUAUCGUGGGAAGGAGAAUAUAGAGGUGGGAGUGAAUAGCAAAAAUACACAUAAGAAGACUCUUUAUGAAGUUUUUUGGAUUAUCUGUAAAUAUACACUAUCACAACACUGAAAAUUUAUGCUGAAACUUUCAUUCCAAUCUAUUUUAUUUUUAUUUUUAUUUUUUCUUUUUUUUCCACUUCAAAUGAAUGAGCCUAUUGUGAAUUCUUUUGAAAGGCUUUGUAUUUUUGUCUCUGUGAUACUUCGUGGCUUCAUAUUUGUUUACUUUUACUAUUUGGUUGUUUAGUUAUAUGUAUUUUGUUCCACUAAAAUGUCCCAUUCCGAACAGGUAUGCCUUCUGAACAAUUAAUGCAGUGCACCUAAUGUACAUCAAUCAAAUUGCUAACCGAUGAUGUUUCUCAAGGGUAUUUGUUCCUUGGUAGUUGUCAGAAAUAUAAAUGGUAUAUUUCAGUAUAUAUCACAGUAUACAUUUUCUCAUGUAAUCCCCACAAUAACUCAGCAAAGUGUGGCUUAUUAUCACUUCAACAGAAGAGUCAGAAAGUUUAAGCUACUGCAUCUGGGUAACUAUGCAAAGCCGUAGAGAAGAGUGGAAAAGACACACAAUUCAGAUUUGAAAUAUUUUUUUUCAGUUCUUUGCUGUUCACUUUAUUACAUCAACAUACAAAUAAUAAUAUAUAAAUGGAUUUGUCUUACAAUUGUAUUUUCAGGUUAUAUAUUUAGAACCUGCUCAUUAAUGUUUGUGUUCAUGUGAAAUAAAUUUUGAAACCAUAGAAUUGUCAUUCUAUUUGAUUAGUGAUAAAUUUCCAUCUCCCUGCCUUCCUCCUUCU